UCAAAGAUUAAGCCAUGCAUGUCUAAGUACAGGCCUAAGUAAGGCGAAACCGCGAAUGGCUCAUUAAAUCAGUUAUGGUUCAUUGGAUCUUACCCUUUCUUACUUGGAUAACUGUGGUAAUUCUAGAGCUAAUACAUGCCAACCAGUAGCUCCGACACACUCCCGUGUGGAAGAGCGCUUUUAUUAGAUCAAAACCAGUCCUCCCUCGGGAGGUCAAACCCCUUCGUGGUGACUCUGAAUAACUUUUAGCUGAGCGCACGGUCUCCGCGCCGGCGCCGCAUCUUUCAAGUGUCUGCCUUAUCAGCUUUCGAUUGUAGGUUAUGCGCCUACAAUGGCUAUAACGGGUAACGGGAAUC
rnacentral:rRNA from 2 species